AGAUGCAGUGGCAUGUGCCUGUAGCCCCCAGCUGUUUGGGAGAAUGAGGCAGGAGGAUUGCUGGAACGUAGUUCUGGUAUGCUGAUCUGGUGUCCACGGUAAGUUUAGCAUCAACAUGGUGACCUCCCAGAAGUGGACGACCACCAGGCUGCCUAAGGAGGGGUGAACCAGCCCAGGCUGGAAACAGAGCCGGUUAAAAGAAAAACACAUUAGAAUCCAGUUCUAGGGGUGCCUGGGUGGCUCAGUUGGUUGGGCAUCUGCCUU
rnacentral:SRP_RNA from 14 species